rnacentral:lncRNA from 1 species
UUACUCAGAAAUUGGUGUAAAAAAAAUUAAAAAAAUCUUCCAUAUCCAACACAUUAUCGGUUUUUUUUUUUUCUGCUGCAAAAAUUAGAGUUUCGAUCUUCUACUCUCUAUGCUCUUAUCUUCAUCUUUCUCUACUCGAUCUUCUCGCCGAUCUAAGUUCUCGUAAGUUUCAUUUCAUUCAACUCUUUUCUUAUCAGCAGUUUCUCGCCUUCAAUUUUAAUUUUCUCUUUGUUUCUAGCUUUUUUCUUUCGGAUUACUAUGUUUACAUGUCCUCUCAGCAACUUCAAUUUUUGUAGUUCUUCCAUCUUCCAACUUCACGCAGUGAUAUUUUAAAAUUGCGUUAAUUUUUUGUUUCAGUUUAUAUAGUGUUGAGGUUUUAGAAUCUCUUGUUGCUUGUUGCUUCCGAUUUUUUUUCCAGGUGGAUCCGUGGUUUCAGGUAGAAUUUGUCGAAAUGCCAGAAAUUGUGUUUUUUAGAUUUGAUACGUUGACCUUGUUAAGUGGAAUGUGGGUUGUGGUAGUAAGGUACUAAGAUUUAGGGAAGUAAUCACGAAUUUGGUUUAAUGUAAUUAGCUACAGAAUAUGGUUAUUUGAAUUAUUGCAUAUAUGUAGUUUCUGUUGGGCCGAUUUAUGCUAAAUCACUUGAACUUGAACUAGAUUAAUAGUAAUUAAACUAGGUAUAAUUCAAGUAUAAUGUGUAAGGAAAAUGGUUAUUUAGACAAUAAAAAGGGGAUCUAUCUUAACCACCGUUUAUUUAAGUUUCAAUUCACC